UGACACUUCUUGUAUCUGAAUCCUUCCUCUGCAAUCCAUCCCUCCUUUUUCCUCUCCAAGUCACUCUCUCCUCUCGUCCCUAUCUGUGAUCCCCUUCUCCUCUCUUCCUUCCUUCCUGGGGUGUUACAUGGAGAGGAUGAAGUCCGACAAGAAUUGACCCGACCUGUCGGGCAGAAGCCACCGAAGAGGAUGACCUCCGUCAAGAAUUCAGCCGACCCGCCCCAGGUGGCCCUCUAGCCGGAUCCGCUCCUCCGGCAAGAACCCCUUCCCGAGCACGACCACGCUUCCCCGAGCAGGACGGCGAGCACGAGAUCAUCAGAGAGGAUGAACUCGGUCAAUUCAUCCAUCCGCAAGCUUCAGCGAGAUCGGCGGAGCUGCGUUCGGAAAGAGCUCAACCAGAUGCAAGCCCGGCGAGCUCCGGCGAGGUGCAUGAGUGAGGUCGGCUGGCUUCAAAAUCCGUCAAGGUUGGUGCAAGAAGAGGACGGGGAGCUCCGGCAAGGUUAGUGCGAGGAGGUUCCUCCAGCAAGAUGUGCAUGGCCACCAGUUCGUGCCCAGCACCUCCGCUGGACUGGCUUCCCCACCCAGACGAAGAGGGCGCCGGGGCGGAGCAAGCGGUUCACCUCGAGCAGCAGCAGCUUGCCUCCCUGGAUGUGGCACGGCACCGCGUGUAGUGCGCGAGCAUGAACUGCAGAGAUGGUCGGAGUUAUAUUUAUCAGUAGUUUCUACACUAUGCUUUGUGAAAUAUCUCUAUUAUGUACCUCCCUCACAAACAUUCAUGGCAGCUUAGCAAAUGUAGAUGAUUUUUAUCUAAACUUUUGGAACUGGAUACCAAAAGCGUACCUACUUCCUACUUUGCAUAAACAGGUGAGUUGUUCUGUACAGACUCCAUAAUUGUACUGUACAGACCAAAUGUUCUGUUGUUCAUAUACAUGAACAGGUGAGUUGUUCUCACUCUAUGACAUUGUCCCAUUUAAGCUUUCUUAGAUUUGAAGCAAUGUGUCCAUUGCAUUAUCUAACAAUGUUUGAGGAACAGUGCGUAGCUAGGUAAAGUAAACUAGCGGUCUAGAAGACAUACAUCUUCACUAAGAUUUCUGAAUUCUUCAGAAUACGCAAUCACCAAUGCAGGAGCCAAAUAUACAUUAGAACUUUCAAGGCAGUUUUCCAGCUAAAUGCAAAUUAGAGGGAUUAAGAAAGUAAGGAAAGACCAUACAACAGAUCGCCAUAACAUAAGAGGAGUGAUGUAAUGGAAAAAGGAAAUUAAGUUGGUACAUGUCUUGCAGUUUCUAUCAGAUUGGCGUCAAAAUUCAUCCGAAAGUAGAGAAUAAGCAGACAACAUCCACGUGGUCAAGCAUUCGAAUCCUCCUGUCCUCUCGCGCCAAGGAAAUUCAGACUGAUUUGCAUGCACUGUAUGUUGUAUGAACAUGGAGGUGCAGUCACCCGAGGUGAAGAAGCUCCAUCACCUACCUCUACCUCCUCCACUAUGCUGACAAGUAAUGCUUAAAUCUUUUAAGUAAUAAAGCGCCCCUUUUCGAAAAAAUUACUUCCUCCCUGCCUGUGAUUUAUUACUUCGAGCC
rnacentral:rRNA from 1 species